AUUGAACGCUGGCGGCAGGCCUAACACAUGCAAGUCGAGCGAGCGGCGGACGGGUGAGUAAUGUCUGGGAAACUGCCUGAUGGAGGGGGAUAACUACUGGAAACGGUAGCUAAUACCGCAUACCAUCAGAUGUGCGCAGAUGGGAUUAGCUCGUAGGUGGGGUAACGGCUCACCUAGGCGACGAUCCCUAGCUGGUCUGAGAGGAUGACCAGCCACACUGGAACUGUGACACGUGCUAGAAUCCUACGGGAGGCAGCAGUGGGGAAGAUUGCACAAUGUGCUCAAGUCUGAUGCAGCCAUUCCGCGGGUGUGAAGAAGGCCUUCGGGUUGUAAAGCACGUUCAGCGGGGAGGCGUUACCCGCAGAAGAGGCACCGGCUAAGUCCGUGCGAGCAGGCGCGGUAAUAC
rnacentral:rRNA from 1 species